UACGUAGGGGGCAAGCGUUGUCCGGAUUUAUUGGGCGUAAAGAGCGUGUAGGCGGCCAAACAGGUCAGCUGUGAAAACUCGAGGCUCAACCUCGAGACGUCGGUUGAAACCGUUUGGCUAGAGUCCGGAAGAGGAGAGUGGAAUUCCCGGUGUAGCGGUGAAAUGCGCAGAUAUCGGGAGGAAUACCAGUGGCGAAGGCGGCCUUCUGGACGGAUACUGACGCUGAGGCGCGAAAGCCAGGGGAGCAAACGGG
rnacentral:rRNA from 1 species